rnacentral:rRNA from 1 species
GACGAACGCUGGCGGCGUGCCUAAUACAUGCAAGUCGAACGAGAAUUUCUUACACCGAGUGCUUGCACUCACCGUAAGAAAUUCGAGUGGCGGACGGGUGAGUAACACGUGGGUAACCUGCCCAAAAGAAGGGGAUAACAUUUGGAAACAAAUGCUAAUACCGUAUAACCAUGAUGACCGCAUGGUCAUUAUGUAAAAGGUGGUUUUGCUAUCGCUUUUGGAUGGACCCGCGGCGUAUUAACUAGUUGGUAGGGUAACGGCCUACCAAGGUGAUGAUACGUAGCCGAGUUGAGAGACUGAUCGGCCACAAUGGGACUGAGACACGGCCCAUACUCCUACGGGAGGCAGCAGUAGGGAAUCUUCCACAAUGGGCGCAAGCCUGAUGGAGCAACGCCGCGUGAAUGAAGAAGGUCUUCGGAUCGUAAAAUUCUGUUGUUAGAGAAGAAUAUGAGUAAUAGUAACUGAUUAUUCACUGACGGUAUCUAACCAGCAAGUCACGGCUAACUACGUGCCAGCCGCCGCCGUAACAC